rnacentral:rRNA from 1 species
UUACUGGGCGUAAAGCGGGCGCAGACGGUUACUUAAGCAGGAUGUGAAAUCCCCGGGCUCAACCUGGGAACUGCGUUCUGAACUGGGUGACUAGAGUGUGUCAGAGGGAGGUAGAAUUCCACGUGCAGCAGUGAAAUGCGUAGAGAUGUGGAGGAAUACCGAUGGCGAAGGCAGCCUCCUGGGAUAACACUGACGUUCAUGCCCGAAAGCGUGGGUAGCAAACAGGAUUAGAUACCCUGGUAGUCCACGCCCUAAACGAUGUCGAUUAGCUGUUGGGCAGCUUGACUGCUUAGUAGCGAAGCUAACGCGUGAAAUCGACCGCCUGGGGAGUACGGUCGCAAGAUUAAAACUCAAAGGAAUUGACGGGGACCCGCACAAGCGGUGGAUGAUGUGGAUUAAUUCGAUGCAACGCGAAGAACCUUACCUGGUCUUGACAUGUACGGAACCCUCCAGAGACGGAGGGGUGCCUUCGGGAGCCGUAACACAGGUGCUGCAUGGCUGUCGUCAGCUCGUGUCGUGAGAAG